rnacentral:lncRNA from 1 species
GAAAACUUCGAGUAGAACUCAGGACAUGAUUGUCCAUCAGUACUGCUAGUUGGUCACAUUAUUGGCUUCUUCCUUCUUCCCCCAUUUUUGUUGUCCAGGUUCCUACAAACAGAUACACCAACUCCCCUCUCUCUCAGUCUCUCUCUCUCUAUAUAUAUAUAUAUGUAUGUAUGUAGAACACAUGCAAAGAGCCGAAUAGCAAACGGUUUUGUGAAUAACCCACAGUUCAUCUGAUAAUUGAUAAGGAACCGUCGGUGAUUGCUGGAUUGACAGUAGUUAUGACCGCUGGUAUUUUAGACCUGAAAGAAAAGUGAGUUUCUCUUAUUUUUAUUUUCAACUCCGGUACAUAUUCUGCUGAAUUUUGGAAGACGAUCAUGAUUCUGCCUUUAGUUUUGGGAUUCUGCAGUUUGAUUUCUUACUAUUUAUGAUUUGAAGUACUUUUGAAAUACUUGCAAGUCGAUUGUUGAAAUGUGAAGUUGUAUAUCGUAUUUGGUUCUCAGAAUUGCUUAGUUUUGUUUUGCAUUAUGUUAUUCGAGUUCGAUUUUAGAGGUACUUCAAAUCAUAAUUGAUGAUGUUUCGAUUUAACUUCAACUUUUGGCUUAGAUUUUCAAUUUUUUGUUGUUGAACUGAAGUUUGUUUGUGGAAGAGCGCUGGUUCGUGAAAAGUUUUCUGGCAACCGGGGUUGAUCAAUUUGGAAUGAAGAAGUGGGAUUUUCAGGGGUUUUGGCACUGUGUUUAUGCUGGUCAUUGGGGGCCCUGUUUGGCAAAUGGGAUAUUUCUUAUCAGUUAUAGAUGCGAUGUUGCAUACUGAAGUUUAAUUAUCAGUGAUAGUUUAAAUGCCUUCUUAAUGCAGUUAUUGCUCUCUUGAAAUAUUUUAUGAAAAUAUGUACUUGUUUGCACUAAACUGAUUCACAUACUAUCUUCUUGGGUUUAGGUACAUUAAUUCGUGCAAGAAGCACAGCGUCGUACCACGUAAUGAAAUUCUAUCUGGUCUCUUCAAGGUUUGUUGUGUUGUACUAAUUAAACUACUUUUAUUAUUAUUGUUUUAUUGAAAUCUGCACGGUAAGGAACUAACGAUGCUUUUUAUCAAGUUGUAUUCCAUGCUUUUGAAAAUUUAGAUACUACUGUUUCUGACUGGAUAUCUCAAGAGAACUCUAUAAUCAUAUUUGCUAAAUCUAUCCUCUAUGUUCUUGAUCUUUGAAGAGCCUAUUGCAAG